UCCGGUUUGUCACCGGCAGUCUCCUUAGAGUUCCCACCAUUACGUGCUGGCAACUAAGGACAAGGGUUGCGCUCGUUGCGGGACUUAACCCAACGUCUCACGACACGAGCUGACGACGGCCAUGCAGCACCUGUGUCCAGGUUCUCUUUCGAGCACUCCCGCAUCUCUGCAGGAUUCCUGGCAUGUCAAGGGUAGGUAAGGUUUUUCGCGUUGCAUCGAAUUAAUCCACAUAAUCCACCGCUUGUGCGGGUCCCCGUCAAUUCCUUUGAGUUUUAACCUUGCGGCCGUACUCCCCAGGCGGUCAACUUCACGCGUUAGCUUCGUUACCAAGGGAGUUAAUCCCCCGACAACCAGUUGACAUAGUUUAGGGCGUGGACUAC
rnacentral:misc_RNA from 1 species